GACGUAGGGCGCGAGCGUGUCCGGAUUUAUUGGGCGUAAAGAGCUCGUAGGCGGCUUGUCGCGUCGACCGUGAAAACUUGGGGGCUCAACCCCAAGCCUGCGGUCGAUACGGGCAGGCUCGAGUUCGGUAGGGGAGACUGGAAUUCCUGGUGUAGCGGUGAAAUGCGCAGAUAUCAGGAGGAACACCAAUGGCGAAGGCAGCUCGCUGGGGACGGUACUGACGCUGAGACGCGAAAAGCGUGGGGGAGCAAAACAGG
rnacentral:rRNA from 1 species